AGAAAACUUAAAUUAAGGGGCUAUGUGAUGUAUAGAAAAUUUGUGAGGGUAUUGUUGAAAUGGCAUUGGAUGGUAAAUUCGGUAUUUUGAAUCUAUUAUGUCUAAACAUGACUGAGUAAUAGUUAUGAUGGCAUUUUUGAAAAUUUUACAUUUUUUGAGGGUGAAAUUUUAAAAUUUUAAAGAAUAUUUAUGAUAUUGGAGUUAUUUGGAAGUGUAGUGAGGAAAAUUUUCCAUAGUUUAUUCUAUUUAUUUUUUUUAGAAAUAAACUGUUUUAGAGUGUAAAAAAAAUAAUUAAAUUACAAAAUUAAAUUCUCAAAUACCAAUUAUCAAGUUUUUAGCGAGCUGUACUAGAUAUGACCUGCAAAAAAUUAUAUAUCUAGCAUUGUUUGAUAAAAAUUAUGAUGGUUUAUACAUAAGUAAACCUUCAUAUAGGGCUUGUGAGGCCCAUGGGCUUUGGUGUGGUUAGGUUAAUUUGGGGCCAAUUUUUCCUGGAGACAUAUUGGGUUAGGGGCUGUUAGGUUUGACGUAAAACUGCGAAAAAAAUUUUCGGUGGAAAAAAAUUUUCGGUGGGAAAUUUUUUUUACGUAGUUUAGUGUUUGGUUUGUAGGAAAAGAAAAAUAGUUUUCGAUGAUGGUUGUUUGGUUGAAAGGAAAAGAAAAAUAGAUGAAAACCUAUUUAAUAUAUUUUCUAUUAUAUAUAUUAUUAUUAUAUAUUGAGAGAUAGGUAGCACGCUAUUUGCUUCGUUUAUUUCAUUUAGAAAUAAACUUAACUAGAAAUGUGAAUCAACUAGGAUUCGAACUUGGAUCUCGGGUAUCAACCAUCAAGCACUUUGCCACUUGUUCUAGGGACGGUUGGUUAUAUAUAUAUAUUAUUAUUAUUAUUAUAAUUUUUAUAUAUAGAUUAAAUAAAUUUAAAAUUAUAAUAAAUAUAUUAUAUAAUAUAUAAGAGUUAUAUAUUUUAAAAUAUUAAUAAAUAAUUACAAAUUUAUAAAUAAAAUAUUAUACAAUAUAUAUAUAUAGGCUAGGGCUACUAUCCUAUUAAUAGGAUAGUAGCACUUGUCCUAUCAAAUUGUUCUUGAUGAUAGAGAUUCCGAAUCGAUGAUUGGAGCUGUUGAAGUUGAUUUUGAGUAUUUGAAAUAUCUAGAAACUAAAUUUCAUAAAUUUUAAAAAUUAUUUACAUGGUGAUCAAAGUGUNUAUAUAUAUAUAUAUAUAUAUAGAGUUGGACUGGGCUACUAUUAGUAUCAAAAUCCCAUUGUUGCUAACAGUUUUUUAGCCUUUGGAUCAACUCUUUUUAUUAUUUCUAACCAUUGGAUUAAAUACUAUAACCCAGUGGGGACCACUCAACCCUAGGGGACCACUCAACUCUAACCGACUAAUAUCAUACUGACCCUAUAAUUUUUCAUCCAAGGGUUAAAAAUUUGGUAGCAAAAAGAACGUUUUACUAUUAAUAGUAUUCCAGCCUAUAUAUAUAUAUAAUUGAGAUAGAAUAAUUUUAGAAGCACCACCUCUUUUCUACUCCUUGAUUAUUAAUAGCCUUUGGAUUAAACACUAUUCCACCUACCAUCAUCAUCCCAAUCUUACAUUUCUUCAUCCAAAGGCUAGAAACUCAAAAACACUACCAUUUUAGUACUUUUGGAAGUAUUCUAGUUCAACUCUCUCUCUCUCUAUAUAUAUAAAAAAAAU
rnacentral:lncRNA from 1 species